UACGGAGGGUGCGAGCGUUGUCCGGAAUCACUGGGCGUAAAGGGCGCGUAGGUGGCGCGGGCAGUCAACGGUGAAAGUUCGGGGCUCAACCCUGAAUCGGCCGUCGAUACUCCCGGGCUUGAGCACUGUAGAGGCAGAUGGAAUUCCGGGUGUAGCGGUGGAAUGCGUAGAGAUCCGGAAGAACACCGGUGGCGAAGGCGGUCUGCUGGGCAGUUGCUGACACUGAGGCGCGACAGCGUGGGGAGCAAACAGG
rnacentral:rRNA from 1 species